rnacentral:lncRNA from 1 species
CACCACAAUUUCUGCACAAGUCAUCCAUCCAUCCUUCGCUUCAUCCUUCGCUCCAACCGUCGCUCCAUCCAUCCAUUUUCUACCACAACAUGAAUUCUUAUUAGAGAGGUUAGGCAUUUAUAAACUCUCCCCUGCCAACAUUUGGGACAAUUUGUGAAAGGUAGCCCCCGCUGCCAACACUCCAAGCCCUCAACAGCCAAACAAGAUAAGCAGACAGCCAUGUUUCCCUCGUAGCAAAGCUAAGCACUGAGGCGUGGACCAGACAGGUUUAAAUAUAGCCGCUGAUUAGAUAGAUCAUUUGUCUCUGUUUAGGCGUCUACGAUUAUGUCACUUAACCUGGCAUGUCACUUUGUGUCCCCUAAGACAGUUUGGACCACCAAGCUAUUGAACAUAAUUACUUUUUGUUUGCAAGCUCGUACAGUGUCCGUACAGACACAUAGUCAAUAAGUGGACAAGAUGGCUAAAGGAUGUUCUUUCAGUGGAUAAAAGAGACCAAUAUCCUAGUCAAAAGAUGCCUCCAGUACAAUGGCAUGCAAGCAGGACCUUUCAUGGACUCCCACAGGUUGCGGCCAACGGUGGAGGCCCUCAAGGACUGCACCUCGGCCGGGGAAACAAGUCGGGAUACAUGGAGGUGGAAAUCCUGAACCCCCAAAAUGUGUAUCCCUCCCCAACUGUUCUUGACCUGAAAAAUAGAUUUCAUAAAUCCUCCUGGUUCUGACCCUUGCCUGUUUUCUGGACUCCAUGCCCGCCUGCCUGACCAUUCUGCCUGCUUGACCACGAGCGUGACUGCCACUCUGUAC